rnacentral:rRNA from 1 species
ACCAGACUCCUACGGGAGGCAGCAGUGGGGGAUAUUGCACAAUGGGGGGAACCCUGAUGCAGCGACGCCGCGUGGGUGAAGAAGCGCCUCGGCGCGUAAAGCCCUGUCAGCAGGGAAGAAAAUGACGGUACCUGAAGAAGAAGCCCCGGCUAACUACGUGCCAGCAGCCGCGGUAAUACGUAUGGGGCAAGCGUUAUCCGGAUUUACUGGGUGUAAAGGGAGCGCAGGCGGCGCGGCAAGUCAGAUGUGAAAGCCCGGGGCUCAACCCCGGGACUGCAUUUGAAACUGCCGUGCUGGAGUGUCGGAGAGGCAAGUGGAAUUCCUAGUGUAGCGGUGAAAUGCGUAGAUAUUAGGAGGAACACCAGUGGCGAAGGCGGCUUGCUGGACGAUAACUGACGCUGAGGCUCGAAAGCGUGGGGAGCAAACAGGAUUAGAUACCCUCGUA